UGUUGAGAUAAGCUUGAAGUAGCUUAGGAUACAAGCUACCUAAUCCUAAUAGGUUAUGUCUAUCUAUAAGGAUUAGGAAAUAUAUUUGUGUUAGUCCUAAUGAGUUUAGGAUAAUUAGAGUCUUAUAUAAGGAGAUACCAACAUGUAGUAUAACUUAAUGUGUUGUGAGCUUUAGAUUUGAGUGAGUGCUAAAGCAAUAAGAAUUGAAGUCUUAUUAUAUCUGUGUGAUCAAUCUCGACGUGAUACGAGUUCGUGUGAUUAAGGUUUGAUACAAUAGUCUGAAUGUCAGAUUUGGUUGAUGAAACUAUAAUUGAAAUCACAGAAUGGAAAAAUUUGAAUCCUAGCUUCAAUGUAUAUGGUAA
rnacentral:lncRNA from 1 species